AAUGGUCCAUUCGAUGUUGUUGUGGACCGUGCAAAUGUCGGCCUUAUCACUCAACGAAUUUCAUCUUUCAGCUCAGAUCUAUUUGUUAAAUAAUUGAGACAUAUGAGUGAAUCGAAGAAGUUAUUUGCAUAAAAAUAGCGCUGGUGGUCUGGCUCAACAUCCUAAGAACAAGAAGUUGUUAGAAAGCUGGAAAAUAGCGAGUGCACUUUACUGCGUUUUUGUUUAGCAAGUUCAUCAGAGGGAGAAACAGAGAAAAAUUAUCUGCAAACAUGUCUGUUUAUCGGGAUCUUCUCUCUGGUGAUUAGCUCCUCUCAGAUUCAUUUCCCUACACAGAACUUGCGAAUGGAGUGCUCUGUAAGUACAAGGGUCGUUAAUUAAGGGAGCCAUUGAUGUAAAUAUCGGGGCCGAGUCCAUCUGCUGAAGAUGUGAAAAGAUGGAUGAUUGCAUUGUAUCUUUCCAAAAGAUUGACACCAAAAGCUACUUGUCACCAUGGAAGUGACAUUACUGGAGUGAAUUCAGAAGCAUGCAUGGCCCUUUCGAUGCAGUGGUGGAUGACGCAAACCGUACCACUCAACGGGAAAAAAAGACUUGAUGACGGCUGCACAUACUCGAAGGGUUCUUUAGCUGGCACUUAGACUGCUACUACUAUGAAAAAAGUCAAUAGAAUGCGAUAGGGGAGGAAAAAAAGCUCGACUAAGGCCUCUUGAAGUCUUUGUAGCUGUUCUCUGGACUUUAGCUAGGUCCACCAUAAAGAAAAGUUGUUGGCAAAAGCGUGGCUUAGGUGUGACAGGUAUUCAAUUGCCACCAACUCUUAAGCACACCCAUUGGCAUGGGAUCGGAAGACUUCCAGUUUCGUAAAUGUGUCCAUAACUAUUUUAAUUUCUCACAGGUCAGAUCUCUUGCCAAUAAAUUAAGACAGAUGAGUGAAUCGAAGCAGUUAUUUUGCACAAUAAUUAUGCAACUGUUGGUCCUGCAACAUCCUAAUAACAUGAAGUUGUUAGAGAACUGGAAAAAAGCGGGUUCUCACUUCCCCCAACGCAACUCAAACCUUCAGCCUACCGGUUGAUGGUAAAGGUGCUUAACCACUUGAGCUACCCUUGCUUGCCAAGAUGGAGGUGUUGAUGAUCAAGCCGUCAAGGUUGUUGAUAAUGGUGAGAGCACGGUGAUUUUUACCUUUUGAUACUAUUUGCCUGUAGUUCAAUUUUGUAAUGCAACUUUAAUAGCAGCUUGGGUUUGCGUGUUGUAUGUGGAUUGGUUGAAGAAUUAACAUGUAUACUAAUUAUUUUUCAUUUGUUACUUUGGCGACCAGUCAUAGAGCUGUGACAAAGUUUUGCUUCCGCUAUCGACUGACCGUCCUAUUAGCAGUGCUAUACUAGA